UCCCUCGAGCCGGAUUUGAACCAGCAACCUAAGGAUGGACCGUUUAUACAUCUACAGUCCUCCACUUUGUCAACUGAGCUAUCGAAUUUGGG